CGCAGCAACGCCGCGUGAAGGAUGAAGGCCUUCGGGUUGUAAACUUCUGUCAGGCGGGACGAACGAGCGGUGGUGAAUAGCCGUCGUUUCUUGACGGUACCGCCGGAGGAAGCCCCGGCUAACUCCGUGCCAGCAGCCGCGGUAAUACGGAGGGGGCAAGCGUUAUUCGGAAUUAUUGGGCGUAAAGGGCGUGUAGGCGGCUUGAUAAGCCAAAGGUGAAAUCCCUCAGCUCAACUGAGGAACUGCCUUUGGAACUGUCUCGCUAGAGGCCAGGAGAGGGUAGCGGAAUUCCCAGUGUAGCGGUGAAAUGCGUAGAUAUUGGGAGGAACACCAGUGGCGAAGGCGGCUACCUGGACUGGUACUGACGCUGAGGCGCGAAAGCGUGGGGAGCAAACAGGAUUAGAUACCCUGGUAGUCCACGCUGUAAA
rnacentral:rRNA from 2 species